GAUGAACGCUGGCGGCGUGCCUAAUACAUGCAAGUCGAGCGAACAGACGAGGAGCUUGCUCCUCUGACGUUAGCGGCGGACGGGUGAGUAACACGUGGAUAACCUACCUAUAAGACUGGGAUAACUUCGGGACACCGGAGCUAAUACCGGAUAAUAUAUUGAACCGCAUGGUUCAAUAGUGAAAGACGGUUUUGCUGUCACUUAUAGAUGGAUCCGCGCCGCAUUAGCUAGUUGGUAAGGUAACGGCUUACCACGGCAACGAUGCGUAGCCGACCUGAGAGGGUGAUCGGCCACACUGGAACUGAGACACGGUCCAGACUCCUACGGGAGGCAGCAGUAGGGAAUCUUCCGCAAUGGGCGAAAGCCUGACGGAGCAACGCCGCGUGAGUGAUGAAGGUCUUCGGAUCGUAAAACUCUGUUAUUAGGGAAGAACAAAUGUGUAAGUAACUAUGCACGUCUUGACGGUACCUAAUCAGAAAGCCACGGCUAACUACGUG
rnacentral:rRNA from 1 species